CGGCGAGGUGCACGCGGGCCGCAGGACGGGGCUGGUUUGGGUGGGCGGCCAGUGCCCACCGCCGCGGGCCGGGCCUUGGCACCGCAGCGCCAGGCGCUCCGCGGGCGCGGGCGGGCGGGCCGGCCGGGCGCUUUCCUGGGACCCGGGGCUCGGGGAGGACCGUGCCCAAAGCGUGGCCACGCGGGCUGGGCCGGCAGACGGCGCGCGCUUUCAGAAGUCGGACGGCUGCAGCAGGGGGCGCCAGCGCCCCGACGCCGGGCCUAGCCCCGCCCACGCCGCCCCGGGGCCCCGCCCCUUCCUUCCUUCCUGCCGCGGCCCUUCUCCGGCCCCGCCCCCCUGCGCAGAGUCGGCGCUCGCGGCCACUCGGGGUCCCCGCGGAGGAGGCACAGAAUCUCCCCAGUGCGAUUCCAGCACUUCUCAGCAGGAAGGGUUCCCAGGCCAGAAACAAGGUCCUGGUUUUGGCUGUGGUCAUGUCCACUCUUCAGAGCAAACGGAGAGCAAAUUCAGAGGCGGAUCGCCAAAGGUAAUUCCUCGCUCUGACACUGAGUACAAAUGAGGUGGUUUUUAAAGUGAAAUGGUUUUUUCCUAGUGAAAAUAACAUGUAUAAUCUUUAGGUUGGAUUCAGUGUAAAUGAAGGAGCUAGUGUUUGGUGGGGACAUCUGAGUGACGUUCUGCUCCUUGUUGCUUCUGGAAUUGUGGGCAAAGCUAGUGUCCCCAGCACCAACGCUGCUUACAGCAUUCGUGUGACAGAUGGAACCGGACGGCCUCUGCAUGGCCUCUCUCACUGGGCUCUGACUCUGUUUCAGCUUUAACUUUUUAUGUUCUUGGAAAACAGUAAAGCAAGAGAGUGAGAUGGAGUGAGGCUGUGAGACGGCAGCGGACAGUGGCUAGGCUGGCGUGGAGCCCUGGCACAGGAGAGGAGAGCUCGAACACUAUGCCUGAGGAACUGCGAUGGGGACGGGGUUGCUUGCGGAAGGCUGGGGAGGACUUGUGCCCACUUCAGCUGGAGCCGAGCUGGCGCCUGAGAAGUGUUGGGGUUCAGGCUCCUCCUGAGCAUAGCGCUCUCUCUAUAGGGUGGGGUGGGCCAAUUGCUGGCAGAGCUGCGAUUUAUCAGGCCUGGUGACUGGGGUGACAAAAUAAUGGAACUGUUUUUCUUCCAAUUGACUAAUGAGAAUAUUGAUUAGGAUUUGAAUUGGCUGAAUCUUAUAGAACUUGAAAAUAAUAGAAGGCAAAUAGUGGAUUGUUUCUCACCACAAGGGAAUCUUUCGGUGGGCAGUGGAGCGCCAGCUGGGGACUCUGUAGUGUCAGGGAAUGAGGCUCUAUCAACCCUGGCAUGUGGCUUCCACAAGGCUGCUUGAAUUCAGCCAUCACGUCAGCAUUCCAGCCAGCAGGGAAAAGAGAGGAACAAACCAGGACUUAACUCCUCCUUCUUCAUUAGUGAUACAUUCCAGAAAUUGAACUUGAUGUUUCUGUUUUCAUCUCACUGGUUAACAGUUAGCUACAUGGUCACCUGGGUGAAACAAAGAUUGGAAAAUGUAGCUUUUGAUCAUAAUAGCUAUGUGUCUAGCUAACCAAUUAUGGUUAUUUGUGUUGUUUGAUUUACUAAGAGGGAGGUAACAGAUAUGAGGUAAUACUUUCCAGAAAAAUUGAGUAUGGUUUGUAGCAUGUAAUGUUUGUAUUCCUUGUGGGGAAUUGGUACCCGGACUAACAUAUCCUAAUUCCCUUUUCCAUACUCUUCCUUUCUCCUCCCUUCUUCCCUCUGUUUCUCAAUCCCUUUCCCUUUUGAGAGAGAUCUAUCUCCCUACCUCCUGUUAUCUCUCUUUUAUUUUGUUCUUUACUUAUAUGUGGGUUUCUCAUUAAGAAAACCAUGUGAUAUUUAAGUCUGACUUACUUAGUAUUAUGGUCUUCUUUUUCUACAAAUGACUCAGAUUUAUCUUUAAGGCAGAAUAGUGCUCCGUUGUAUAUAAAUAUCACAUUUGCUUUAUCCAUUCAUCUGCUGAGGUACGUGUGG
rnacentral:lncRNA from 1 species